AUCCCCUUCCCUGUUGCCUGUCCCCAUCCCGUCCCCAUGCUGCUUCCCAUCCCUAUCUCCGCUCCAUUCUGCAUCCCAUCGCAUCCCAUGGCAUCCGAUCCCGUCCCGUCCCAUCCCGUCCCACCGCGUCCCGUCCUGUCCCGUCCCAUCCCGUCCCGUCCCGUCCCGUCCCGUCCCGUCCCGUCCCGUCCCGUCCCGUGCCGCAGGUUUCCCUCCUCCCUCGCUCCCAGCGCGGCCGUCGGGCUGUGGUGCCCUCCGAUGGGAAUAUUUGGGAUUGCCGGCACCCUGACCCUUGCCGAUCCACUCUUAGGUCCCGGAUCCCGCCCUGGGGCCGCCUCCUCCCCGACAGCCCCGCUCCCGCCCCGCUCCAGCCGGUAUCCCCGGCAGUGCCCCGCUCCUGGCCAUUGCACGCUCCUCAGCCCCAAUAAAAGCUGCUGGAUACAUCCCGCUGUCGCCUCUCGUCCCUCUCCAAGGGAGGCUGGGGGGAGGGACACGACGGGUAAAGCUGCUCUGGAGGGCAAUCUCCAAGAGAAACAGUCCCCGAAAACCGCAUGGGGCAGCCUGGGGCGAGCAUUCCGUGGGGAGGGACUGGAGCCUCAGGGAGGGCAAUCUCCAAGAGAAACAGUCCCCGAAAACCGCAUGGGGCAGCCUGGGGCGAGCAUUCCGUGGGGAGGGAGUGGAGCCUCAGGGACGGGGCUGGGAGGGAUGGGAAGGACGGGAGGUGGGUGGGCUGAGAGGGGGAGUGGGAUGGGAGGUCGGUGUGGGAGGUGUGGGACAUGGUGGAACUGGUGGGGAGGAUGUGGUGAGAAGGUGUGGGAUGUGGUGGGACUGGUGGUAUUGUGUGGGAUGUGGUGGGGGAGGAGAAAAGGUGUGGGAUGUGGUGGGGCUGAUGGCCUCAGGGAGGCCACGGACAGGGAAGUGAUGCCCCUUGGAGUCCGUGGUGGCAAACACAGAUGUCACCCUGCUCCUGGCAGGGGGUGGCCGUGCUGAUGACCACAGCCUCCUCCUUUCCUUGCUGCUGCACCAUCCAAGCCAGCUGAGGGAUGUGCCCCCCCCCCCCCCCCCCCCCCCCCCCCCCCCCCCCCCC
rnacentral:lncRNA from 12 species